CCCUCCCCAUUCUCUCAUCUCUCUCAAACUUUAACCAGCUGCCCCUAAACCACCCCAACUCCCUGACCAGCGGCCACCACCAUAACUCCUCCAAAUCUACCCAAAUUCACACCCCGUACUACCUUGAAACCUUGAGCUGCAAGUUAAAUGUGAAGAUAUGAAUAUUUUUGGGAUUAAUACAACCAUGUCAUUUUUAGUAAAUAACUCUUAUGUUUUAUUAACUCAUGUAAUUCUUUCCUUGGUUAGCUAAUAUCAUGUGUUGUCUUUUACUAGUAGAUGAAGAUUUGUGUUUGGGACAUAAGAUUCAUGUAAUUAUGGCCUCUUUCUUCCUCUUCAUCUUCUCUGCAAUCUUGUUUAAUGUUUGAGGCGUGUACAACCAUUUCAUUCAGCCUUGUUUGAAUUGCAAUAUGAAAUGAAAUUAUUGAGUGUGUACCUGUAACA